rnacentral:rRNA from 1 species
ACUCAAAUGAAUUGACGGGGGCCCGCACAAGCGGUGGAGUAUGUGGUUUAAUUCGAUGCAACGCGAAGAACCUUACCGGGGUUUGACAUGCACAGGACAGGUGUAGAAAUACACCCUCCCUUCGGGGUCUGUGCACAGAUGCUGCAUGGCUGUCGUCAGCUCGUGUCGUGAGAUGUUGGGUUAAGUCCCGCAACGAGCGCAACCCUCGUCCCUAGUUGCCAGCGGGUAAUGCCGGGCACUCUAGGGAGACUGCCGGUGGCAAGCCGGAGGAAGGUGGGGAUGACGUCAAGUCCUCAUGGCUCUUACGCCCCGGGCUACACACGUACUACAAUGGCCGGUACAAAGGGUUGCAAUGCCGCGAGGUGGAGCCAAUCCCAAAAAACCGGUCUCAGUUCGGAUCGCAGUCUGCAACUCGACUGCGUGAAGUCGGAAUCGCUAGUAAUCGCGGAUCAGCAAGCCGCGGUGAAUACGUUCCCGGGCCUUGUACACACCGCCCGU